rnacentral:rRNA from 1 species
AUACGGAGGGUGCAAGCGUUGUUCGGAAUCACUGGGCGUAAAGGGCGCGCAGGCGGUUUGGUAAGUCAGAUGUGAAAGCCCACGGCUCAACCGUGGAAGUGCAUUUGAAACUGUCAGACUUGAGUACUAGAGGGGAAAGUGGAAUUCCCGGUGUAGAGGUGAAAUUCGUAGAUAUCGGGAGGAAUACCGGUGGCGAAGGCGACUUUCUGGCUAGAUACUGACGCUGAGGCGCGAAAGCGUGGGGAGCAAACAGGAUUAGAAACACCAGUAGUCC